rnacentral:rRNA from 1 species
GGCAACAGCCAUACCACGUUGAAAGCACCGGUUCUCGUCCGAUCACCGAAGUUAAACAACAUUGGGCGCGGUCAGUACUUGGAUGGGUGACCGCUUGGGAACACCGCGUGCCGUUGGCA